AGCGAACGCUGGCGGCAGGCCUAACACAUACAAGUCGAACGAAGUCUUCGGACUUAGUGGCGGACGGGUGAGUAACACGUGGGAACGUACCUUUUGGUUCGGAACAACUCAGGGAAACUUGAGCUAAUACCGGAUGAGCCCUUAGGGGGAAAGAUUUAUCGCCGAAAGAGCGGCCCGCGUUAGAUUAGCUAGUUGGUGAGGUAAAGGCUCACCAGGGCUACGAUCUAUAGCUGGUCUGAGAGGAUGAUCAGCCACACUGGGACUGAGACACGGCCCAGACUCCUACGGGAGGCAGCAGUGGGGAAUCUUGCGCAAUGGGCGAAAGCCUGACGCAGCCAUGCCGCGUGAAUGAUGAAGGUCUUAGGAUUGUAAAAUUCUUUUACCAGGGACGAUAAUGACGGUACCUGGAGAAAAAGCCCCGGCUAACUUCGUGCCAGCAGCCGCUGUAAAAC
rnacentral:rRNA from 1 species